GGGGUUGUAGCUCAAUGGUAGAGCACCUGCCUAGCACGUGUGAGGCACUGAGUUCAAUUCUCAGCACCGCA
rnacentral:tRNA from 1 species